UGGUGGUCUCCAUCCCUGGGUCCGGACGCUCUCCGCCUAUAUGCUGCUCACCCACCCCGCCUUCCAACCGUGGGCCCUGACGACCGCCAGCCAAGCCGGGCCCCGACUCGGCGGAAGUGACCUACCCACGGAUAUCAGCCGGAUUGUGGGCGCCCUGGGACACCUACCACCGCUCCGGGAUAUCGAGACCAGCCCCCUGUCCCCCGGCCCGUGGUGCUGGGCAACCGCGUUGUGGGGUAACCCGUUGCUCCCCAAUACCGGCGAGGCAGACCCAGACAGUUUGAACCGCCGCCCGGGCCUGGAGACGCACUUCGUGGGGAUCGCUACAUGCAGGAAACUGCAAACGGUGGGCGACCUAGUGCGGAUCUGGGACCUAGUGGUGCAUACUCGAGUGGCCUCCCUCCCCAGGUCGACCUGGCCCGAAUGGGUCAGGACACACCUCGACCCAUCAACCCCAGCACCCACGCGGGACAGGUCAGCGACCCUGGCAGCCCUUAAGACGCUACAUGGCGCUAUCAACCCGGCCUGGCUCGAAGCUGCAAGAGCAGUGGAAACCCAACAGCAACAGCAACCCCAGCCGCAGGCACAGCUGCAGCCACAGCCGCAGUCACAGCCACAGCCGCAGCCACAGCCGCAGCCACAGCCGCAGCCACAGCUGCAGCUACAGCUGCAGCUACAGCUGCAGCUACAGCCGCAGCCUCAGCCGCAGCCACAGCCGCAGCCACAGCCGCAGGUACAGCCACAACAGCUGCAAACACAACCACAGCUACAGACACAGCAUCAGCCGCAGCCGCAACAGCAGCAACAGCCGCAGCAACAGCUACAGACGCAGCCGCAUGAGCAGCAACCCCAACAGCAGCAGCCAGAGAUGCCAACGGCGGGGGACAUGGCGGCUCCAAGCACCCCCAACAGCACUCAGGCGAUGGCUANNNNNNNNNNNNNNNNNNNNNNNNNNNNNNNNNNNNNNNNNNNNNNNNNNGAAGACUCAGUACCAUCGUUCCUCCAGGCCAUGGACACCUUUGCCCGGGCAUCUGGCCAACGCCUAAAUCUCGACAAAGUGGAGCUGCUGUGGAUUGGCCAAUUAAACCAACAGCAGGCGCAACCUGCAACCCAGGCCGGGCCCCAAUCAGCUGCCCCUCAGCAGGAGUCAAUAGGAGGUCUCAAGGUGGUGACCACCGCCACCGCCCUGAACCUGCCGAUUGACAACCAGCCAUCCCCGCCACAGCCCGACUGGAUGAAGAGACUCGGGGAAGCCAAGCGGCGACUGCAGCGGCUCUCCCGCUUCCCGCUAUCAGCAUUCAGUCGAGCCACAGCGGCAUCGGUGUACGGAAUGCAGACAGUCACCUGGCACAUGGAGCAUGGUGGGCCGCCCCCCAACCGUACGCUGGACGAAAUAGAACGCCUAACGGCCCGCCUCGUCGACCGGCAGCAGGGCCCAGAAGACCCCGGCCGCCGCUUGACAGGGGUGCCUAAGGAUCUCUUGACCGGCCACCCGUCGGCUGGAGGCUUUGGCCUGCUGCCCCUCCAGCAACACAUCCAGGCUCGGCAUGCGGUAUGGGCUGUGCGCUUCAUCAUAGCGGCCCUCGGGCUAUCUAACGUGUCAUGUGGGCCAGGGACAGGUGGAGCUGCAGGAACCACAGGUGGUACCGGGGGGCACGGGAGGGCAGAUGGUGGUCUCCAUCCCUGGGUCCGGACGCUCUCCGCCUAUAUGCUGCUCACCCACCCCGCCUUCCAACCGUGGGCCCUGACGACCGCCAGCCAAGCCGGGCCCCGACUCGGCGGAAGUGACCUACCCACGGAUAUCAGCCGGAUUGUGGGCGCCCUGGGACAC
rnacentral:lncRNA from 1 species